ACUCUCAUCUCCAAAAUCUAGAUGUCGAUAAGGGACCACUGAUGCCGCCGCCACGACUUCGACCUAUAACGAAUUCAGAGAGAGUGUGGGCAAUGGUAAAGCCUACCUCAAACCCGACCUAGAUAUAUAUAAUUCUUCACAAAUUCUCUCCCCAAGGCAAAAAAAACUUUACCCGACCUAAUUAGUUCAACCUGUUCUGUCCAUCCACCUCGUUUUGCCUCGAGGCUAGCAUGGAUAAU
rnacentral:lncRNA from 1 species